ACGACCUUACUUGAACAGGAUCUGUUCUAUAGGCUCGUACCUCUGUAUCCUAGAGUUCUAAGGAGACAAGAACCUAAGUCUGGUUGAUGAGACAUGGCCAUGCAAUCAGAGCGUGAUUAACAGUUCUGAUGAGUUUGAUUCUAACCUAUCAAGCAGUAGAGUAUCGUUCCCAUGGUUGGUUCCAAUCCUGGGGUGGUCGCACGGUUGUCUGACAGACU